GAUCCUGGCUCAGAUUGAACGCUGGCGGCAUGCUUUACACAUGCAAGUCGAACGGCAGCGGGGGCUUCGGCCUGCCGGCGAGUGGCGAACGGGUGAGUAAUGCAUCGGAACGUGCCCAAGUCGUGGGGGAUAACGUAUCGAAAGGUACGCUAAUACCGCAUACGUCCUGAGGGAGAAAGCGGGGGAUCUUCGGACCUCGCGCGAUUGGAGCGGCCGAUGUCGGAUUAGCUAGUAGGUGAGGUAAAAGGCUCACCUAGGCGACGAUCCGUAGCGGGUCUGAGAGGAUGAUCCGCCACACUGGGACUGAGACACGGCCCAGACUCCUACGGGAGGCAGCAGUGGGGAAUUUUGGACAAUGGGCGCAAGCCUGAUCCAGCCAUGCCGCGUGAGUGAAGAAGGCCUUCGGGUUGUAAAGCUCUUUCGGCCGGGAAGAAAUCGUGUUCUCUAACAUAGGACAUGGAUGACGG
rnacentral:rRNA from 1 species